rnacentral:rRNA from 1 species
GGCUUGUUGAUUAUAAUUUCAAGUCUGACCUGCCCAGUGAAUAUUUUAACGGCCGCGGUAUUUUGACCGUGCAAAGGUAGCAUAAUCAUUAGUUUUUUAAUUGAAAGCUUGUAUGAAGGGUUUAAUGAGAAAAAGACUGUCUCUGUAAAAAUUUGUUAGAAUUUUAUUUUUAAGUUAAAAAGCUUAAAUAAAAAUAGAAGACGAGAAGACCCUAUAGAGUUUUAUAUUUAUAUUAAUAGUAAAAAUUUUUGGAAAAUGAAAUUGCUAUUGGUGUAAGUAUUUUGUUGGGGUGAUAGAAAAAUUAAAUUAACUUUUUUUAAAUUAGAACAUUUAUUUAUGAUUUGGUGAUCCUGAAUUUUAGAUUAUAAGACGAAAUUACCUUAGGGAUAACAGCGUAAUUUUUUUUAGAGUUCUUAUCGAAGAAAAAGAUUGCGACCUCGAUGUUGGAUUAAAAUUUAUUGUGGGUGUAGAAGCUCGCAUAUUAGGUCUGUUCGACCUUUAAAAUUUUACAUGAUCUGAGUUUAAACCGGUGUGAG